AUUGAACGCUGGCGGCAGGCUUAACACAUGCAAGUCGAACGGUAACAUGAAGAAGCUUGCUUCUUUGAUGACGAGUGGCGGACGGGUGAGUAAUGCUUGGGAAUCUAGCUUAUGGAGGGGGAUAACUACGGGAAACUGUAGCUAAUACCGCGUAGUAUCGGAAGAUGAAAGUGUGGGACCUUCGGGCCACAUGCCAUAGGAUGAGCCCAAGUGGGAUUAGGUAGUUGGUGAGGUAAAGGCUCACCAAGCCGACGAUCUCUAGCUGGUCUGAGAGGAUGACCAGCCACACUGGGACUGAGACACGGCCCAGACUCCUACGGGAGGCAGCAGUGGGGAAUAUUGCGCAAUGGGGGCAACCCUGACGCAGCCAUGCCGCGUGAAUGAAGAAGGCCUUCGGGUUGUAAAGUUCUUUCGGUAGCGAGGAAGGCAUUUAGUUUAAUAGACUAGGUGAUUGACGUUAACUACAGAAGAAGCACCGGCUAACUCCGUGCCAGCAGCCGCGGUAAUACGGAGGGUGCGAGCGUUAAUCGGAAUAACUGGGCGUAAAGGGCACGCAGGCGGUGACUUAAGUGAGGUGUGAAAGCCCCGGGCUUAACCUGGGAAUUGCAUUUCAUACUGGGUCGCUAGAGUACUUUAGGGAGGGGUAGAAUUCCACGUGUAGCGGUGAAAUGCGUAGAGAUGUGGAGGAAUACCGAAGGCGAAGGCAGCCCCUUGGGAAUGUACUGACGCUCAUGUGCGAAAGCGUGGGGAGCAAACAGG
rnacentral:rRNA from 1 species